AGAGGGGUGCGAGCGUUAAUCGGACUUACUGGGCGUAAAGGGCGCGUAGGUGGUUAUUUAAGUUAGAUGUGAAAUCCUUGGGGCUUUAACCUGAGAACUGCAUUUAAUACUGGAUGACUAGAGUACGGUAGAGGGAAGUGGAAUUUCCGGUGUAGCGGUGAAAUGCGUAGAUAUCGGAAGGAACACCAAUGGCGAAGGCAACUUCCUGGACUGUAACUGACACUGAGGCGCGAAAGCGUGGGGAGCAAACAGGAUUAGAGACCCUGGUAGUCCACGCUGUAAACGAUGAGAACUAGCUGUUGGGAAGCUUAGACUUCUUAGUGGCGCAGCUAACGCACUAAGUUCUCCGCCUGGGGACUACGGCCGCAAGGCUA
rnacentral:rRNA from 1 species